UACGGAGGAUGCAAGCGUUAUCCGGAAUUACUGGGCGUAAAGCGCGCGUAGGCGGCUUUGUAAGUUAGAGGUGAAAGCCCGGAGCUCAACUCCGGAACUGCCUUUAAGACUGCAUCGCUAGAAUUGUGGAGAGGUGAGUGGAAUUCCGAGUGUAGAGGUGAAAUUCGUAGAUAUUCGGAAGAACACCAGUGGCGAAGGCGACUCACUGGACACAUAUUGACGCUGAGGUGCGAAAGCGUGGGGAGCAAACAGG
rnacentral:rRNA from 1 species